CUGUAAAUAGCGCUUAAAACCACAGUGGAAAAGCCACAUGCUCCUGAUACACUUGGGGGGACAUAAAGGGAAACCCACACACCCAAGGAGGAGGGCUCUGGCCAUGCAAGGCUGAAGGCCCAGUGUACUGAUAUGAAAACUGAAGCUCAGACAGAAGAGGCGACGUUGCUUUCUUAACCACUGGAUUUGCAGUGCUGUGGUUCUCAGAAGAGGCCAGGACAGGUUAAUCCACUCACUUGGGAGGCAGCCGGUGCAGAGCUGAGAAUUUACCCCAGGCUACCAGCCUUCCGGCUGAGAGAGCAAGCUGACGCACGGUUCCUCAGCUGUCCCAUGGAGCCUGUUGCGGCCAUCCACCUCCUUCAAAGGAAGGAAAUCUUUCCAUAUCACCCAGGCUGAUCUUCAACGAACUGGACUCAAGUAUUCCUCCCACCUCGGCCUCCAGGGUUGAAUGUACAGCUGGUAUAAAAAUGGUGCUUUGUCGUCAUGAAGAAGGUGUAUUCUGGGAUCAAACCACCUGGCUGGAGAUGCUUACUAACCUCAGUUUCUUCAUCUGACCUUACCUUUCUAAAAGAAUAAGAAGAAGAUGAUACAUAUUCCUCUAAAGUCCCAACAGGAACCUUUUCCCCUCACUCCCUCCCCAGAGAUGUGUAUCAUUUCCAUGAGUGUCUGUACUUUUACAACAUGUGCAUAUUAAUAAACAAAAUAUGACAAAUUAUUUUGUCUUAAUAUUUGCAUAAAUCUAGCCAUACUCUACACCACUUUUGCAACUUUCACUAUUAUAUAUUUUGAAGAUUAUCCGUGUUUAUGCACAUAAGUUUAUCAUUUUAACUGUUGAAUAGUGUUUCAUUAUAUGAAUUAACCAUAAUUCAUCUAUUUCCCUGAGUGACAAUUAGGUUUCUUUUUGUUUUUAUGCUCUGAUGAACAAUCUUGCAAUUAUUAUCUUUGUAUAUGUCUUCAUGUAUAAGAAAUUCUCCAGGGUAGACACUUAGAAGUAAAGGGUCUGACUCAGAGAGUCUGUGUAUUUUAAAAUGUAUUGGUUAUUGUCAAAUUGUUCCUCAAAGUAGAUGUACCAAUUUACAUUCCUACAGUGGUAUAUAACAGUUUUUUUUUCUCCACAUCCUCUUCAACACUCGUCAUUACCAG
rnacentral:lncRNA from 1 species